CCUACGGGAGGCUGCAGUGGGGAAUAUUGGGCAAUGGGCGCAAGCCUGACCCAGCAACGCCGCGUGAAGGAAGAAGGCUUUCGGGUUGUAAACUUCUUUUAAGAGGGAAGAGCAGAAGACGGUACCUCUUGAAUAAGCCACGGCUCACUAGGUGCCAGCAGCCGCGGUAAUACGUAGGUGGAAAGCGUUGUCCGGAUUUACUGGGUGUAAAGGGCGUGUAGCCGGGCUGACAAGUCAGAUGUGAAACCCCGUGGCUCAACCACGGAACUGCAUUUGAAACUGUCGGGCUUGAGUAUCGGAGAGGCAGGCGGAAUUCCUGGUGUAGCGGUGAAAUGCGUAGAUAUUAGGAGGAACACCAGUGGCGAAGGCGGCCUGCUGGACGGCAACUGACGGUGAGGCGCGAAAGCGUGGGGAGCAAACAGGAUUAGAUACCCCUGUAGUC
rnacentral:rRNA from 1 species